GCAUAUCAAUAAGCGGAGGAAAAGAAACCAACAGGGAUUGCCCUAGUAACGGCGAGUGAAGCGGCAACAGCUCAAAUUUGAAAUCUGGCUUUCGGGCCCGAGUUGUAAUUUGUAGAGGAUACUUUUGAUGCGGUGCCUUCCGAGUUCCCUGGAACGGGACGCCAUAGAGGGUGAGAGCCCCGUCUGGUUGGAUGCCAAAUCUCUGUAAAGUUCCUUCGACGAGUCGAGUAGUUUGGGAAUGCUGCUCUAAAUGGGAGGUUUAUGUCUUCUAAAGCUAAAUAUUGGCCAGAGACCGAUAGCGCACAAGUAGAGUGAUCGAAAGAUGAAAAGCACUUUGAAAAGAGAGUUAAAAAGUACGUGAAAUUGUUGAGAGGGAAGCGUUUAUGACCAGACUUGGACUUGGUUAAUCAUCUGGGGUUCUCCCCAGUGCACUUUUCCAGUUCAGGCCAGCAUCAGUUUUCGCCGGGGGAUAAAGGCUUCGGGAAUGUAGCUCUUCGGAGUGUUAUAGCCUGCCGCCGGCGCCGCGAGCGGGGACCGAGAACUGCGACUUUUGUCUCGGAUGCUGGCACAACGGCGCAACACCGCCCGUCUUGAAACACGGACC
rnacentral:rRNA from 1 species